ACACUGAGGUUGAUAAAUUACCGGAUUACUUGCAGAGUGCUUGUUGUGGGUUUUAUACCUGCUAGGGUGCUCAUAUCUACUAGGGUACGUCAUAGAGUCCACUACGAUCCCCCAAAGGACUACCAUCAUGUAGCGACAGCAAUAACUCGAUUCGCUCUUUGACAGAAACUCCCUUUUAGUCGGCGUACUAAUGAAGAUAAAUUGACAACAAAACAAUUAGGACUUCCUAGACCAAAUGUAUCCCUUCAACAGGUUUCUACAAAGGGAGUAUGGAUUAAAAGACCUGAAGCAUCUGGCAGAAAGAACAGUGAAACACGAAAGCUGUAACCCCCAUAAUCAAUUGCGCCCUGCAAUUGGGACUAUUGGGUCACGUCAACAUCAUGGCACAGCUAGAUAGUGCAUAUCAGCGGAACAUUUUAGAGCACAACAAACAGACGGGGGAGAAUCGUUAUGUACUGGGGAGACUGAUAUCGUGCAUAAAGCCCUGUGGGAAGUGCGAACUUUGAGACGAUGUGCGAGGGCGACACCAGGCUGCAAAGACACUAAGAUUCUAACAAGAUUCAGUUGAUGAGCUUGAAGGACCAGUAAUCUCCCAUCCCAAUGUAACAUCAAUAACAUCAAUCAAUUACACAUUGCAUCUGGGUCCUAGCCUACCUUUCCAUGAUCCCUUAAUUCAGUUGUAACCUGGAUGUCCUAUCACCAUGCACGUCCUUUUGCUUGUAUAUCUCAGGCAAAUACAGAACUCGAACCUGUGAAGCAUUUAUUAUUACAAGUGUGGAAUAAAGUCUCAUCUCAUAGGUAUGGCCAUGAAUUCUAAGAAAACAAUGUAUUAAUACACACCAAGGCUUAACUGAAAUGAGGAUGCAAUGGAAGUCCACAUUCUAUCAGGCCACAUUACGAUCAAAACGAGUUGCUAAAUGAAAGUUUGAGGAUUUCUGCAGCACUGUAUAUAACCCAGUAAAUGACAUUCACAGCUUGUAUUUCAGGCACUGAAUUGAAGCUCCCUGACAAGAGCAUCAGCAGUGUGCAGUGUUACAUGAACGUGAAACUGAACGAACUGUAGGGACAGCCGAUCUGCACAAAGACAGUUUUUUAUCAAACAUGUCAAGGAAGAAGCAGUGUGGAGACCUUAACUUCUGGUGAUGGGACAGUGGAGCCCUGCUGAUGAUGCAAUGUGUGUGAUGUGUGAGUAAGAGGGGUGCAGCAUUGAGGGGCGACGCUGAACUCCCGACUGCUACUGAUGUGCAGGUUGGCACUUCGCAUGGUAGCCUCUUCCAUCGGAGUGUGAAUGGGUAGAUGUCUGAGGCAUUAACAUGUAAAGCUUUAUAAGUGCUCUAUGAAUAGAAAAGCGCUACAUAAAUGCAGUGCAUUGACAAUUUGAGUCUGAAAGUGGGUUGGGGG
ensembl:lncRNA